AACCCUCGCUGUGUGUUACAAGUGUCACACGGAACUGCCGGUCAUAAACCGGAGGAAAGUGGGAUGACGUCAAGUCAGCAUGGCCUUUAUAUCCUGGGCUACACACACGCUACAAUGGGAAGGGACAAUAGGUUGCGAAGCCGCGAGGCGGAGCCAAUCCAGCAAAACUUCCCUCAGUUCAGAUUGCAGGCUGCAACCCGCCUGCAUGAAGUUGGAGUUGCUAGUAAACGCAGGUCAGCCAUACUGCGUUGAAUACGUUCCCGGGGCUU
rnacentral:rRNA from 1 species